rnacentral:rRNA from 1 species
UACAUAGGGGGCAAGCGUUGUCCGGAUUUACUGGGCGUAAAGAGCGUGUAGGCGGCCUAUCAGGUCCGUUGUGAAAACUGGAGGCUUAACCUCCAGACGUCGACGGAAACCGCGUGGCUAGAGUCCGGAAGAGGAGAGUGGAAUUCCUGGUGUAGCGGUGAAAUGCGCAGAUAUCAAGAAGAACACCAAUGGCGAAGGCAGCUCUCUGGGACGGUACUGACGCUGAGACGCGAAAGCGUGGGGAGCGAACAGG